GAUGAACGCUGGCGGCGUGCUUAACACAUGCAAGUCGAACGGAAAGGCCCAAGCUUGCUUGGGUACUCGAGUGGCGAACGGGUGAGUAACACGUGGGUGAUCUGCCCUGCACUUCGGGAUAAGCCUGGGAAACUGGGUCUAAUACCGGAUAGGACCACAUUUUGGAUGGUGUGGUGGAAAGUUUUUCGGUGUGGGAUGAGCUCGCGGCCUAUCAGCUUGUUGGUGGGGUAAUGGCCUACCAAGGCGUCGACGAGUAGCCGGCCUGAGAGGGUGUACGGCCACAUUGGGACUGAGAUACGGCCCAGACUCCUACGGGAGGCAGCAGUGGGGAAUAUUGCACAAUGGGCGCAAGCCUGAUGCAGCGACGCCGCGUGGGGGAUGACGGCCUUCGGGUUGUAAACUCCUUUCGCUAGGGACGAAGCGUUAUGUGACGGUACCUGGAGAAGAAGCACCGGCUAACUACGUG
rnacentral:rRNA from 1 species